rfam:Dictyocaulus viviparus strain HannoverDv2000 D_viviparus-1.0_Cont81.20, whole genome shotgun sequence.
GCACGGAUGGCCGAGUGGUCUAAGGCGCCAGACUCAAGGUGAACCUUGCCGCGAGAUUGCAGCAUGAAAUUUCUGGUACUCGUAAGAGUGCGUGGGUUCAAAUCCCACUCCGUGCA